UACGGGGGGGGCAAGCGUUGUUCGGAAUUACUGGGCGUAAAGGGCUUGUAGGUGGCCAACUAAGUCCGACGUGAAAUCCCUAGGCUUAACCUAGGAACUGCGUCGGAUACUGGAUGGCUUGAAUCCGGGAGAGGGAUGCGGAAUUCCAGGUGUAGCGGUGAAAUGCGCAGAUAUCAGGAGGAACACCGGUGGCGAAGGCGGUUCUCUGGGCCUUACCUGACGCUGAGGUGCGAAAGCGUGGGGAGCAAACAGG
rnacentral:rRNA from 1 species